rnacentral:rRNA from 1 species
UACGGAGGGUCCAAGCGUUAUCCGGAAUCAUUGGGUUUAAAGGGUCCGUAGGCGGUUUUGUAAGUCAGUGGUGAAAGCCCAUCGCUCAACGGUGGAACGGCCAUUGAUACUGCAAGACUUGAAUUAUUUGGGAAGCAACUAGGAAUAUGUAGUGUAGCGGUGAAAUGCUUAGAGAUUACAUGGAAUACCAAUUGCGAAGGCAGGUUGCUACCAAUACAUUGACUGACUGACUGGACGAAAGCGUGGGGAG